rnacentral:rRNA from 1 species
CCUACGGGAGGCAGCAGUGGGGAAUUUUGGACAAUGGGCGAAAGCCUGAUCCAGCAAUGCCGCGUGCAGGAAGAAGGCCUUCGGGUUGUAAACUGCUUUUGUACGGAACGAAACGGUCUGCUUUAAUACAGUGGGCUAAUGACGGUACCGUAAGAAUAAGCACCGGCUAACUACGUGCCAGCAGCCGCGGUAAUACGUAGGGUGCGAGCGUUAAUCGGAAUUACUGGGCGUAAAGCGUGCGCAGGCGGUUAUAUAAGACAGUUGUGAAAUCCCCGGGCUCAACCUGGGAAUUGCAUUUGUGACUGUAUAGCUAGAGUACGGUAGAGGGGGAUGGAAUUCCGCGUGUAGCAGUGAAAUGCGUAGAUAUGCGGAGGAACACCGAUGGCGAAGGCAAUCCCCUGGACCUGUACUGACGCUCAUGCACGAAAGCGUGGGGAGCAAACAGGAUUAGAUACCCUGGUAGUCCACGCCCUAAACGAUGUCAACUGGUUNUUGGGUGNNUAGUAUCAGUACGAGACUACGCGNGAGUAGACGCGNGGAGGACGGCGCGUAGUAGUUAACGUUACGAAGAAGUUAGAGNGNGNGAGNGCGAGCGACGACGAGGAGAGG